GGGUUGUGAGGUUAAGCGACUAAGCGUACACGGUGGAUGCCCUGGCAGUCAGAGGCGAUGAAGGACGUGCUAAUCUGCGAUAAGCGUCGGUAAGGUGAUAUGAACCGUUAUAACCGGCGAUUUCCGAAUGGGGAAACCCAGUGUGAUUCGUCACACUAUCAUUACGUGAAUACAUAGCGUAAUGAAGCGAACCGGGGGAACUGAAACAUCUAAGUACCCCGAGGAAAAGAAAUCAACCGAGAUUCCCCCAGUAGCGGCGAGCGAACGGGGAGGAGCCCAGAGCCUGAAUCAGCAUGUGUGUUAGUGGAAGCGUCUGGAAAGUCGCGCGAUACAGGGUGACAGCCCCGUACACAAAAGCGCAUGUGCUGUGAGCUCGAUGAGUAGGGCGGGACACGUGGUAUCCUGUCUGAAUAUGGGGGGACCAUCCUCCAAGGCUAAAUACUCCUGACUGACCGAUAGUGAACCAGUACCGUGAGGGAAAGGCGAAAAGAACCCCGGCGAGGGGAGUGAAACAGAACCUGAAACCGUGUACGUACAAGCAGUGGGAGCACAGGUUUACCUGUGUGACUGCGUACCUUUUGUAUAAUGGGUCAGCGACUUAUAUUCUGUAGCAAGGUUAACCGAAUAGGGGAGCCGGAGGGAAACCGAGUCUUAAUUGGGCGUUAAGUUGCAGGGUAUAGACCCGAAACCCGGUGAUCUAGCCAUGGGCAGGUUGAAGGUUGGGUAACACUAACUGGAGGACCGAACCGACUAAUGUUGAAAAAUUAGCGGAUGACCUGUGGCUGGGGGUGAAAGGCC
rnacentral:rRNA from 1 species